CGGCACCGCAUGGUGAUUGUUGUUAAAGGCCUUCGGGCGCCUAUUGAUGAGCCUGCGUCCCAUUAGGUAGUUGGCGGGGUAACGGCCCACCAAGCCAACGAUGGGUAGCUGGUCUGAGAGGAUGAUCAGCCACACUGGAACUGAGACACGGUCCAGACUCCUACGGGAGGCAGCAGUGAGGAAUAUUGCGCAAUGGCCGAAAGGCUGACGCAGCGACGCCGCGUGAAGGAUGAAGUCCGUUAGGACGUAAACUUCUUUUGCAGGGGAUGAAUGUGGUGCCUUGAGCGCCAUUGACCGUACCCUGCGAAUAAGGAUCGGCCAACUACGUGCCAGCAGCCGCGGUAAUACGUAGGAUCCGAGCGUUGUCCGGAAUUACUGGGUGUAAAGGGCGUGUA
rnacentral:rRNA from 1 species